AAAAGAGAAAUUCGGCCACGUGGUACGACCUAAUCAGUAGUCAUGACGAACUAGAGCACGCCGCGCGGUAAAACAUGCUAACAUCGGCGCCACACGGGCGAUCUACAUGCCUAACGAUCCGACAGUCCCGAUCAUGUCCCCCGUGCACGAACGGCUCAGAUGCAUUCCCUCUUUAGGCACGAUCGAAUGGAUGAGAUCAAUCGCGAUGAACAAUCCAAAUUCGACCACGCAAUCGGUCUAAACAGGCAACGAUUGGACGACUCUCCUUGCUUCAUGUCGAUGCGAACAGAUGGCCCAGAUCGACACGAAGUGGGUAUUUAAACAUCGUGUCUUAGGAAACCUUAACCUUAGUCGUACCUGCCCUCGUCGGAGAAGAAGAACCAGACGUCGGAGAAGG
rnacentral:lncRNA from 1 species